GCGCUAUGCCGGUGUGCCAUUGGCCCUCUUCACCUGCCGAAAGUCGAGUCGGUGCCCAGUGGAUAAUGAACUAACUGCCUAUAACCGAAGGCUGAAAACUUUUAAAUCGAAGGGAUCCGGGACGGCCAACCAUAUGCUAUCUGGGUAGUGCGUUUCAACCUGCCAUCCUUCCAAGUGCAUGCAAAGUCGGCAUCAGACACUGAUCGAGCGCCCAUGAUGGAACACUGCAUCAACCAACAAAAACCUUUUUGCAUUGGCAGUUGAGGCGGUUGGGAACGAAUCGCAUCGUAUGAUAUCCCCAGUUGCCUAG
rnacentral:lncRNA from 1 species